AUUGAACGCUGGCGGCAGGCCUAACACAUGCAAGUCGAAUGGUAACAGGAAACAGCUUGCUGUUUCGCUGACGAGUGGCGGACGGGUGAGUAAUGUCUGGGAAACUGCCUGAUGGAGGGGGAUAACUACUGGAAACGGUAGCUAAUACCGCAUAACGUCGCAAGACCAAAGAGGGGGGACCUUCGGGCCUCUUGCCAUCAGAUGUGCCAGAUGGGAUUAGCUAGUAGGUGGGUAACGGCUCACCUAGGCGACGAUCCCUAGCUGGUCUGAGAGGAUGACCAGCCACACUGGAACUGAGACACGGUCCAGACUCCUACGGGAGCAGCAGUGGGAAUAUUGCACAAUGGGCGCAAAGCCUGAUGCAGCCAUGCCGCGUGUAUGAAGAAGGCC
rnacentral:rRNA from 1 species